AGAGAAUGCCAUGUGGCAUUAUUUGGAGUCUUUUAUUAUAAGUUAGAUGUGAGCCAUUGGCUCACUCGAUAUUAAUCUUAUUUUUAAUGGGAAAAGGUCCAUCACAAUAGCUUGCUAUUGGGGCUUUUGAGCGUCGCCUUGGCGUUGCACUACUGCCUUGGCUUGGCGCAUCCCUC
rnacentral:snRNA from 1 species